AUCUUCUUUUAGAGCAAAUAAGAAAUAUUUUUGACUUAUGAGAGAUAGUUCAAGAAAAUUAAUAUUCAUGCUUUAACAGAUUUUUAUGCUCAGAUUAAACAUGAUGAGUUAAAAUUAAUCAGUGGAAUUUGAGAUCAUUUUAGGAGAUGGUAUUAAUCGUUCAAUCAAGGAUACAAUGAUUAUGCUCAAUGAAGUUUUAACAUGAAGGUAUGAAAUCAGCAUCAAACGUUUAUACUAGAGAGGGAAUUUAGAUUUUGUAAACUUGAAGAAAGAAGGUUAUAUGUAUAUCCAUUCAUUGUUUUCUUUAUCAUGAUGCAAGCACUAGAAAGUUUCAUGCUAAAAUCGUUGAGAUAAGAUUUAACAUAUGAGGCAUUUAAAAACAUUGAUGCAGAGAGUAUCGUAAUUUCAUAAAAAGAUAAUUUCGAUACACGAUGUAGAAUGUUAAAUCUUAUACUAGAUUUAAUGAAUAAAUUGAGACUUAUCUUUAAUUAUGUGUCAACGCACCCAUUUGUAUGAAAGUUUCGUUUGUUCCAUGGGUAGCUUGGCACACCUACAUCUACACCCUCAUAUUUUCAUUUUGGGUAUCCAAGCUUGCUUGGGUCCUUGAGGGUUAGUGCAUAUGGUUCCUUUUGGAACCCAAAUCUGUUUAAUCGUAA
rnacentral:lncRNA from 1 species